ACACAUGCAAGUCGAACGAUGAAGCCCUUCGGGGUGGAUUAGUGGCGAACGGGUGAGUAACACGUGGGCAAUCUGCCCUUCACUCUGGGACAAGCCCUGGAAACGGGGUCUAAUACCGGAUAACACUCGCCGAGGCAUCUCGGUGGGUUGAAAGCUCCGGCGGUGAAGGAUGAGCCCGCGGCCUAUCAGCUUGUUGGUGAGGUAGAAGCUCACCAAGGCGACGACGGGUAGCCGGCCUGAGAGGGCGACCGGCCACACUGGGACUGAGACACGGCCCAGACUCCUACGGGAGGCAGCAGUGGGGAAUAUUGCACAAUGGGCGAAAGCCUGAUGCAGCGACGCCGCGUGAGGGAUGACGGCCUUCGGGUUGUAAACCUCUUUCAGCAGGGAAGAAGCGAAAGUGACGGUACCUGCAGAAGAAGCGCCGGCUAACUACGUGCCAGCAGCCGCGGUAAUACGUAGGGCGCAAGCGUUGUCCGGAAUUAUUGGGCGUAAAGAGCUCGUAGGCGGUCUGUCACGUCGGAUGUGAAAGCCCGGGGCUUAACCCCGGGUCUGCAUUCGAUACGGGCAGACUAGAGUGUGGUAGGGGAGAUCGGAAUUCCUGGUGUAGCGGUGAAAUGCGCAGAUAUCAGGAGGAACACCGGUGGCGAAGGCGGAUCUCUGGGCCAUUACUGACGCUGAGGAGCGAAAGCGUGGGGAGCGAACAGGAUUAGAUACCCUGGUAGUCCACGCCGUAAACGGUGGGAACUAGGUGUUGGCGACAUUCCACGUCGUCGGUGCCGCAGCUAACGCAUUAAGUUCCCCGCCUGGGGAGUACGGCCGCAAGGCUAAAACUCAAAGGAAUUGACGGGGGCCCGCACAAGCAGCGGAGCAUGUGGCUUAAUUCGACGCAACGCGAAGAACCUUACCAAGGCUUGACAUCGCCCGGAAAGCAUCAGAGAUGGUGCCCCCCUUGUGGUCGGGUGACAGGUGGUGCAUGGCUGUCGUCAGCUCGUGUCGUGAGAUGUUGGGUUAAGUCCCGCAACGAGCGCAACCCUUGUUCUGUGUUGCCAGCAUGCCCUUCGGGGUGAUGGGGACUCACAGGAGACUGCCGGGGUCAACUCGGAGGAAGGUGGGGACGACGUCAAGUCAUCAUGCCCCUUAUGUCUUGGGCUGCACACGUGCUACAAUGGCAGGUACAAUGAGCUGCGAUGUCGCAAGGCGGAGCGAAUCUCAAAAAGCCUGUCUCAGUUCGGAUUGGGGUCUGCAACUCGACCCCAUGAAGUCGGAGUUGCUAGUAAUCGCAGAUCAGCAUUGCUGCGGUGAAUACGUUCCCGGGCCUUGUACACACCGCCCGUCACGUCACGAAAGUCGGUAACACCCGAAGCCGGUGGCCCAACCCCCUUGUGGGGAGGGAGCUGUCGAAGGUGGGACUGGCGAUUGGGACGAAGUCGUAACAAG
rnacentral:rRNA from 1 species